AGAGUUGAUCCUGGCUCAGGACGAACGCUGGCGGCGUGCCUAAUACAUGCAAGUAGAGCGCUGAAGAGAGGAGCUUGCUCUUCUUGGAUGAGUUACGAACGGGUGAGUAACGCGUAGGUAACCUGCCUUGUAGCGGGGGAUAACUAUUGGAAACGAUAGCUAAUACCGCAUAACAAUGGAUGACACAUGUCAUUUAUUUGAAAGGGGCAAUUGCACCACUACAAGAUGGACCUGCGUUGUAUUAGCUAGUAGGUGAGGUAAUGGCUCACCUAGGCGACGAUACAUAGCCGACCUGAGAGGGUGAUCGGCCACACUGGGACUGAGACACGGCCCAGACUCCUACGGGAGGCAGCAGUAGGGAAUCUUCGGCAAUGGGGGCAACCCUGACCGAGCAACGCCGCGUGAGUGAAGAAGGUUUUCGGAUCGUAAAGCUCUGUUGUAAGUCAAGAACGGGUGUGAGAGUGGAAAGUUCACACUGUGACGGUAGCUUACCAGAAAGGGACGGCUAACUACGUGCCAGCAGCCGCGGUAAUACGUAGGUCCCGAGCGUUGUCCGGAUUUAUUGGGCGUAAAGCGAGCGCAGGCGGUUUGAUAAGUCUGAAGUUAAAGGCUGUGGCUCGACCAUAGUUCGCUUUGGAAACUGUCAAACUUGAGUGCAGAAGGGGAGAGUGGAAUUCCAUGUGUAGCGGUGAAAUGCGUAGAUAUAUGGAGGAACACCGGUGGCGAAAGCGGCUCUCUGGUCUGUAACUGACGCUGANGCUCGAAAGCGUGGGGAGCGAACAGGAUUAGAUACCCUGGUAGUCCACGCCGUAAACGAUGAGUGCUAGGUGUUGGAUCCUU
rnacentral:rRNA from 1 species